GACGUUUGCUCUUCCUAUCUCGAUAAGUAGCCGAGUUGCGGACGAAUACGAAUUGUGGGUUAUGCGUUCGAUAACUGUCUGUGCAUAUGUCGUUCGAACGAAAUGGCGCCACAGAAUCACGUUCGUUGCGCAACAUUUCAGAAAACGG